rnacentral:rRNA from 1 species
UGGGCCGUAACUGACGCUGAGGAGCGAAAGGGUGGGGAGCAAACAGGCUUAGAUACCCUGGUAGUCCACCCCGUAAACGUUGGGAACUAGUUGUGGGGUCCAUUCCACGGAUUCCGUGACGCAGCUAACGCAUUAAGUUCCCCGCCUGGGGAGUACGGCCGCAAGGCUAAAACUCAAAGGAAUUGACGGGGACCCGCACAAGCGGCGGAGCAUGCGGAUUAAUUCGAUGCAACGCGAAGAACCUUACCAAGGCUUGACAUAUACGAGAACGGGCCAGAAAUGGUCAACUCUUUGGACACUCGUAAACAGGUGGUGCAUGGUUGUCGUCAGCUCGUGUCGUGAGAUGUUGGGUUAAGUCCCGCAACGAGCGCAACCCUCGUUCUAUGUUGCCAGCACGUAAUGGUGGGAACUCUGGGAUACUGCCGGGGUCAACUCGGAGGAAGGUGGGGAUGACGUCAAAUCAUCAUGCCCCUUAUGUCUUGGGCUUCACGCAUGCUACAAUGGCCGGUACAAAGGGCUGCAAUACCGCGAGGUGGAGCGAAUCCCAAAAAGCCGGUCCCAGUUCGGAUUGAGGUCUGCAACUCGACCUCAUGAAGUCGGAGUCGCUAGUAAUCGCAGAUCAGCAACGCUGCGGUGAAUACGUUCCCGGGUCUUGUACACACCGCCCGUCAA